rnacentral:rRNA from 1 species
GAUGAACGCUAGCGGCAGGCCUAAUACAUGCAAGUCGAGGGGGCAGCGCGGUAAGCAAUACUGGCGGCGACCGGCGCACGGGUGCGUAACACGUAUGCAACCUACCUUCAACUGGAGGAUAGCCCGGGGAAACUCGGAUUAAUACUCCAUAACACAGGGAUCCCGCAUGGGAAUAUUGUUAAAGCUACGGCGGUUGAAGAUGGGCAUGCGUUCGAUUAGCUAGUUGGUGUAGGUAACGGCUCACCAAGGCUACGAUCGAUAGGGGGUCUGAGAGGAUGAUCCCCCACACUGGUACUGAGAUACGGACCAGACUCCUACGGGAGCAGCAGUAGGAUAUUGGUCAAUGGGACGCAAGCCUGAACCAGCUAAUGCCGCGUGCAGGAAGAAGGCCCUCUGGGUU